AAAGAUCGCAGCCUUCGGCAGCUCCUACAGGGAAAACGUAAUUCCUGUGUAGGAGCUGCCGAAGGCUGCGAUCUUU
rnacentral:antisense_RNA from 1 species